rnacentral:snRNA from 1 species
UCGCGCUUGGUUGAAAAGCC